rnacentral:rRNA from 1 species
CCUACGGGUGGCAGCAGUGAGGAAUAUUGCUCAAUGGGCGCGAGCCUGAACCAGCCACGCAGCGUGAAGGAUGACUGCCCUACGGGUUGUAAACUUCUUUUAUAAAGGAAUAAAGUGAGGCACGUGUGCCUUUUUGUAUGUACUUUAUGAAUACGGAUCGGCUAACCCCGUGCCAGCAGCCGCGGUAAUACGGAGGAUCCGAGCGUUAUCCGGAUUUAUUGGGUUUAAAGGGAGCGUAGAUGGGUUGUUAAGUCAGUUGUGAAAGUUUGCGGCUCAACCGUAAAAUUGCAAUUGAUACUGGCAGACUUGAGUACAGUAGAGGUAAGCGGAAUUCGUGGUGUAGCGGUGAAAUGCUUAGAUAUCACGAAGAACACCGGUGGCGAAGGCAGCUUACUGAACUGCAACUGACAUUGAUGCUCGAAAGUGUGGGUAUCAAACAGGAUUAGAUACCCUUGUAGUC